AGUGAACGCUGGCGGUAGACCUAACACAUGCAAGUCGAACGGCAGCACAGUAAGAGCUUGCUCUUACGGGUGGCGAGUGGCGGACGGGUGAGGAAUACAUCGGAAUCUACUUUUUCGUGGGGGAUAACGUAGGGAAACUUACGCUAAUACCGCAUACGACCUACGGGUGAAAGCAGGGGAUCUUCGGACCUUGCGCGAUUGAAUGAGCCGAUGUCGGAUUAGCUAGUUGGCGGGGUAAAGGCCCACCAAGGCGACGAUCCGUAGCUGGUCUGAGAGGAUGAUCGGCCACACUGGAACUGAGACACGGUCCAGACUCCUACGGGAGGCAGCAGUGGGGAAUAUUGGACAAUGGGCGCAAGCCUGAUCCAGCCAUACCGCGUGGGUGAAGAAGGCCUUCGGGUUGUAAAGCCCUUUUGUUGGGAAAGAAAAGCAGCAGGUUAAUACCCCGCUGUUCUGACGGUACCCAAAGAAUAAGCACCGGCUAACUUCGUG
rnacentral:rRNA from 1 species